CCGUCUUCCGCACGAGCUUCUUAGAGGGGACCGUCCCCCCGCCGGGGAAAGGACGGGUGCGAGGCAACGACAGGUCUGUGAUGCCCUUAGAUGUUCUGGGCCGCACGCGCAUUACACUGACGCGUCCAACGGGGUGACUCCCGACCCGAAGGGGCCGGGGAAUCCGCAAGGCGCGUCGUGAUGGGGAUUGAACGUUGCAAUUGUUGUUCACGAACGAGGAAUUCCUAGUAGGCGCGGGUCGAUCAACCCGCGCCGAUUACGUCCCUGCCCUUUGUACACACCGCCCGUCGCUCCUACCGAUCGAACGGUCCGGUGAGGACCCAGGACGGCGCGGGACCCGAGGGGCCGAAAGGCUCCGCGACCCGUGUCGGAAUCCGUCCGAACCUUACCGUUUAGAGGAAGGAG
rnacentral:rRNA from 1 species